rnacentral:rRNA from 1 species
UACGGAGGGUGCAAGCGUUAUCCGGAUUCACUGGGUUUAAAGGGUGCGUAGGUGGGCCCGUAAGUCAGUGGUGAAAUCUCCGAGCUUAACUCGGAAACUGCCAUUGAUACUAUAGGUCUUGAAUUAUCUGGAGGUUAGCGGAAUAUGUCAUGUAGCGGUGAAAUGCUUGGAUAUGACAUAGAACACCGAUUGCGAAGGCAGCUGGCUACAGGUAUAUUGACACUGAGGCACGAAAGCGUGGGGAUCAAACAGG